rnacentral:lncRNA from 1 species
GCUCGGGGCCCCCACUCACCCACCCCUGCACCGCGGGGGGCGGCGCUGGGCGGCCCGGGGAGGGCCAGCCCCGCCGAGCCUUUCAGAGUUAAUUAGCCUUCAUGAAUAUGGAUGCCACCGCCGAUUGAAGACGGUUGAGAGGUCGUAACCUGACCUCGGCGAGGCGUGCAUAAAGAAAAGCCUACUUUUCUCAGCUUGGCUCCUAAUUGAAAGCCCGAGUGGUCGGGCGCAGCGCGGAGGGUGUGAUCGCGCGCCCCGCUCCCUGCGCGCUCUGGGGACGGUGGCGGGGGCGCCCGGGCGAGCUCGGGGACCCGCAGGUGUGUGCGGGCGGCCCAGCGCAGCUUCGCCGCGGCGGGAUCCGAAGUGGGGAUUUAUUCUGAAAGCUUUCCUUUUCCAUGAUGGUUUUCAUUUCCUGUAAUUUAGAGCUGGAAGCAUUUAUGGAAUAUCACAUGGUUUUCGUUUACACAGGAAAUCAGCUGCAGUUGUGAGAAGAUACUGACUUACUUUUUUUUGUUUUUGAAAUCCUCCUCCCCACAUCCAAAAAAAAAAAAAAAAAAGAAAAAUUUUUGAAAAGACGAGCUGGCAGCAUGUUUUGAAAUAGUUCUCCUUUUUGAUCCAACCUCACUGUUCUCCAAAGGGGACUGCAGUUUAUUUCUGACACGUGGUAAUCACUUUAUGUGAAGAAACCCCAGCAUCGAGAGAUGCUUUUGGUUUUUUUCAGAGCAAAGCGGGGAGCUCAGAGGGGGUGGGGGCAGGCGGGGGGAGAGGGGGGCGCUCACAGCUGCGCCCCAGCUUCCUUUCUGGGAUGGGAACGAUUUCUAAAGGAUCUUAGGGAAAGGAGCCUGCGAACCAGGCCGCCUUUGGAGCUGAACUCCCUCCCUCCCCGAGAAAGACAGCACUUACUGCCCCAGUUAACCUGCUGGGAUCACUGCUUAAAACCUUAGAGUCGUAGCGCCGUCCCCCAACCCAGGAAUCACAGUAUAAGUCUCUUCUUAACCCAGCCCCACCCCAUCACCCCAGAAAUCAUCAGAGAACCGCAGGGUUUUAUCACAGAGAUUGAGGCCGAGGUGGAAGAAUUUGCAAUUUGUUUUUUUCAUCUAUGCCCCCUGGUUGCCACUGAGUUGAAGUCAGCACUCUCUUCUCUCUUUGCUGGGGAUGGUUCUAACCACUUCCCACCCUCCACCCCCAGUUCGGAGGCCAACUAGACCGCCGUGGGCAAUAGCACCACCGUGUGGCCAGCCUCCCUCUCCAAGCCCCUUCCCCUGCCUUUUCUGGGAUCCUCCCGGGCGGUAGCGUGGAUUUAGUGGGGCUGGGAUGGUCUCUGCCCACUUUCUUCUCCUCCCUGCAAUGAGGUUAACACACAGGGCACCAGACGCUCUCCCUUCAUGCCAUCUACUAAGGGUGUGGAGGGAGCCUUCUGAGAAUGUCCAGACCUCAUGGGGCCUCUAGGACCCAGGUGGCCCUCGAUGGUCACUGUGUCCCCAGCAGUUGAGACCCAUUUGACAGAGUCUCAGGCAGCUGCACCGUGACCAUCUUCUGCUCCUCUCCCCAAGUCGAUAAAACCAACAGCCAUCUGUGUGAACAUAAGCCCCGUGUUUUUAUGGGCUGUCUACUGGCUGCUGCAGACAAGCCAGGAUGGAGGCUUACGGCCGCAGCUCUCUCAGCCUCCAAAUAUGAAACUGUGUAAUCCGACUCAUUCUCUGAAACCAAAUAUUUGCA